rnacentral:tRNA from 1 species
GUUCCUGUAGUGUAGUGGUUUAGCACCUUGGACUUUGAAUCCAAUAACCCCAGUUCGACUCUGGGCGGGAACU